UACGUAAGGAGCAAGCGUUGUCCGGAAUUACUGGGCGUAAAGAGCUCGUAGGUGGUUUGUCGCGUCGUCUGUGAAAUUCCGGGGCUUAACUUCGGGCGUGCAGGCGAUACGGGCAAUACUUGAGUGCUGUAGGGGAGACUGGAAUUCCUGGUGUAGCGGUGGAAUGCGCAGAUAUCAGGAGGAACACCGAUGGCGAAGGCAGGUCUCUGGGCAGUAACUGACGCUGAGGAGCGAAAGCAUGGGUAGCGAACAGGAUUAGAUA
rnacentral:rRNA from 1 species